GUGAAAUGAAGGGCUGAG
rnacentral:piRNA from 1 species